GUGAAUAAAGCCUAGAAAAGGAGAAGAGAACAAAGGCAAAGGGGGAUUGGUGCUGGUGUCCUGGAAAGGAGGAUCUAUAUCUCUGUGAUUCUGCAGGGGAAGGUGCAGAGGAAGGAGGACAAAUCCAACUUGAAACUACACCAUGACAGUGAAACCCAAAUAAAAAGGGCAUUGCCUCCUGAAGACCAAAAGGCCCAUGGGUGGCAAGCAGUUGGCGCUCGCCGCCCGCCCGCGAAGAAACUGCAAUGCAAACUUCCCAGCCUCGGAACCCUGCUGCUUGGAGAGCAGCUCCGCUGUGCCAGCUGCAGCCAGGAGACUGGUAUUCAACCUCCCCGCCCCCCGCCACGGUUAAAGUUUGCUCCACAUUCGCAGCUCCCACCCCACCCCCAUCUCCGCCCCGAGGCAGGAGGACCACAUAGGAGUUCCUGGAUCCACGGUGCGCAAACACACCCACCAACAAAAGAAAG
rnacentral:lncRNA from 1 species